UCCUGGCUCAGAACGAACGCUGGCGGCGUGCCUAACACAUGCAAGUCGCGCGAGAAAGCGGGGGCAACUCCGUGAGUAAAGCGGCGCACGGGUGAGUAGUACGUAGGUAACCUACCUCCGAGACCGGGAUAACCUUCCGAAAGGAGGGCUAAUACUGGAUGAGACCACGGGACCUCGGUUCUGCGGUCAAAGGUGGCCUCUACUUGUAAGCUACCGCUCAGGGAUGGGCCUGCGCACCAUUAGCUAGUUGGCGAGGUAACGGCUCACCAAGGCGAAGAUGGUUAGCUGAUCUGAGAGGAUGAUCAGCCACACUGGGACUGAGACACGGCCCAGACUCCUACGGGAGGCAGCAGUGGGGAAUCUUGGACAAUGGGGGAAACCCUGAUCCAGCGACGCCGCGUGGGUGAUGAAGGCCUUCGGGUCGUAAAGCCCUGUCGAGGGGGAAGAAACUCUUGCCGGUGAACAAUCGGCGAGAUUGACGGUACCCUUAAAGGAAGCACCGGCUAACUCUGUGCCAGCAGCCGCGGUAA
rnacentral:rRNA from 1 species